rnacentral:rRNA from 1 species
GACGAACGCUGGCGGCGUGCCUAAUACAUGCAAGUCGAACGCAGUGGGGACGGGUGAGUAACACGUGGGUAACCUCCCAUCAGAGGGGGGAACACUUGGAAACAGGUGCUAAACCGAUACGGAUGGAGGGACCCGCGGGGCAUUAGCUAGUGGGUGGGGUAACGGCCCAGCAAGUCCAAGAUGCAUAGCCGACCUGAGAGGGUGAUCGGCCACACUGGGACUGAGACACGGCCCAGACUCCUACGGGAGGCAGCAGUGGGGAAUAUUCGGCAAUGGACGAAAGUCUGAUCGAGCAACGCCGCGUGAGUGAAGAAGGUUUUCGGAUCGUAAAACUCUGUUGUUGGAGAAGCGGUAUCUAACCAGAAAGCCCCGGCUAACUACGUGCCAGCAGCCGCGGUAAUUC